UGUUUUGAACAUCAUAUUCGUGCCUGCCGGUGGAAAAAUUAGAGCGACAUACGGACAAGUAAGAUGAUCAUCGUUUAAACAAAUGGUUUAUUUUCUUGUACAAGCAGCCGUGGCCCGAGCAGCGCAAAUCGUGGCAGAGAAUUAUAAGUAAUAAGGGAAAUAAUAGUGCGAUAAGAAACUGGAGCUCGGGGAAAACUAUAAUUUACGUCUCUACGCAGCACGUACGCAUGUGUGGGUGCAUUUGCGAUUGUGGCCUAAGCAGCGGCCCGAAAAACCUUACCAAACCUUUUUUUAUUUUACGCUUACAUCAACGUUAUGCCACAAUCACGUGCCGCCGCAGCUGCAGCUACUGG